CCUACGGGUGGCAGCAGUGAGGAAUCUUGGUCAAUGGACGAGAGUCUGAACCAGCCAAGUAGCGUGAAGGAUUACUGCCCUAUGGGUUGUAAACUUCUUUUAUAUGGGAAUAAAAUGUUCCACGUGUGGGAUUUUGUAUGUACCAUAUUAAUAAGGAUCGGCUAACUCCGUGCCUGCAGCCGCGGUAAUACGGAGGAUCCGAGCGUUAUCCGGAUUUAUUGGGUUUAAAGGGAGCGUAGGUGGAUUGUUAAGUCAGGUGUGAAAGUUUGAGGCUCAACCGGAAAAUUGCAGUUGAAACUGGCAGUCGUGAGUACAGUAGAGGUGGGCGGAAUUCGUGGUGUAGCGGUGAAAUGCGUAGAUAUCACGAAGAACUCCGAUUGCGAAGGCAGUUCACUGGACUGUAACUGACACUGAGGCUCGAAAGUGUGGGUAUCAAACAGGAUUAGAUACCCUAGUAGUC
rnacentral:rRNA from 1 species